rnacentral:misc_RNA from 1 species
GAUGAAGAACGUAGCGAAAUGCGAUACGUAAUGUGAAUUGCAAAUUCAGUGAAUCAUCGAGUCUUUGAACGCACAUUGCGCCCCCUGGUAUUCCGGGGGGCAUGCCUGUCCGAGCGUCAUUGCUGCCCUCAAGCACGGCUUGUGUGUUGGGCCCCGUCCUCCGAUCCCGGGGGACGGGCCCGAAAGGCAGCGGCGGCACCGCGUCCGGUCCUCGAGCGUAUGGGGCUUUGUCACCCGCUCUGUAGGCCCGGCCGGCGCUUGCCGAUCAACCCAAAUUUUUUACCCAGGUUGACCUCGGAUCAGGUAGGGAUACCCGCUGAACUUAAGCAUAUCAUAAGCGGAGGA